UUCUUUUUAUAUUAUUAUUUUUCUUUGAAGAGAAGAUACUUAAUUAAUAAUUAUAAUUACAGGCUAAUAAGACAAAGUGGAACUAAUUUGGCAAGGACGAAUUAGAUGAAGCCAAGUGGGGAAUAAUAAAGGAGCGUAAGAUUUUCUUUUUAUGUACAAAUAUCUUGUGUUUUCUUGGUACAAAGAUGGUAAGAAUUUAUUGUUGGGUGAACAUAUAUAUCUGUUAUCGAAUGUCAAUCCAUGCCUCCAAUAAAUCUCUUACCCCACAACCCAUCCAAGUGGAAAAUAAUCCCCUUCCUUCUUUUUUAUACGAAAUAACAAAGCCACUGCAAACUCACACAUAUAAAAUAAAGGUAUUGUAAUUCGAAUUUAUUCAUGACAUUCAGUCUAAUAAUUUUGAUAUUGUUACUAGUUUAGUUAGGGUUUAGGGGACUCCUUCUUCCUUUCCAUCUGUUCAUUUAAAAUUUAUGUUCACC
rnacentral:lncRNA from 1 species